UACGAAGGGGGCGAGCGUUGUUCGGAUUUACUGGGCGUAAAGGGCGCGUAGGCGGCCCUCCUAGUCGCGUGUGAAAGCCCCGGGCUCAACCUGGGAACCGCGCUUGAGACUGGCAUGCUCGAGUUCGGGAGAGGAUGGUGGAAUUCCCAGUGUAGAGGUGAAAUUCGUAGAUAUUGGGAAGAACACCGAUGGCGAAGGGCAGCCAUCUGGACCGACACUGACGCUGAGGCGCGAAAGCGUGGGGAGCAAACAGG
rnacentral:rRNA from 1 species